CGCUGGCGGCGUGCCUAAUACAUGCAAGUCGAACGCUUCUUUUUCCACCGGAGCUUGCUCCACCGGAAAAAGAGGAGUGGCGAACGGGUGAGUAACACGUGGGUAACCUGCCCAUCAGAAGGGGAUAACACUUGGAAACAGGUGCUAAUACCGUAUAACAAUCGAAACCGCAUGGUUUUGAUUUGAAAGGCGCUUUCGGGUGUCGCUGAUGGAUGGACCCGCGGUGCAUUAGCUAGUUGGUGAGGUAACGGCUCACCAAGGCCACGAUGCAUAGCCGACCUGAGAGGGUGAUCGGCCACAUUGGGACUGAGACACGGCCCAAACUCCUACGGGAGGCAGCAGUAGGGAAUCUUCGGCAAUGGACGAAAGUCUGACCGAGCAACGCCGCGUGAGUGAAGAAGGUUUUCGGAUCGUAAAACUCUGUUGUUAGAGAAGAACAAGGAUGAGAGUAACUGUUCAUCCCUUGACGGUAUCUAACCAG
rnacentral:rRNA from 1 species